UUAUUUUUUUGAGCAGUAUAUAUUUUGUCACCAUUUUCCUCUCUUUGGAAUCAAGACCUGUCAUACAUCAUUAGAAAUAAAAAAUGAAUGGAGUGAACAUUAAUUCUUUCGCUCCUGCUUCAAGAGAGCCUUGAGAUGUGGGUUUGUGAAAUCACCAGGGACAAUCAGCAUCUCUAGGAUCCUCACACUGGAUAUGCUCAGGAGUGGAGGUGAGUGUGUCAUUUUAUCAUGUUUAUUUAUAGAGGCGUGUGGAGAUGCAGUUGAGGUCUUGUUGGCCCAGUUUGGAGAGCAGCUGCUCUCCAAGUGUGUGCAGACAUUCAGACUGACUCUGCACCACCUAGGAGUUACAUCACCUUGCCAAAAAAGCAGAUACCAUUAAAAAAAAAAAAACUGAUGCACUUCGCAGCAGUGCAUCAAUAUAGAAAGCUAUAAUGUGCGCUGCAAAACUGUCUUUCGUCUGUUCGACAUGUAAACUGUCAUAACGGACAGUAAAUACUGCUGUUUACCCUGGCAAGGAACGGUAAUCUGAGCAUCUGACGCUCCUCAUAGCGCAUUCGAGCAUCUUCAUCUUCUUCUAUUUACACUUCUCUCUCUUUAUCCUCCGUCUUGCUUUAAUGCCAGCAUCCUCUCCUCUCUCCGAGCAAGCUGCUGCUCCUCGCUGGUGAUUUUGCAGAGCCGAAGGGGGGGCGGAGUACCAAAGGAAGGCUAUGACUCGCUGAGGAUGCAGCGAGUAGCUGACAUCACAACAUCCUUAUUUGGGUGGCAAGACGUUAAAGCCGAACGCUCCGAUGCAUUGCGAGUGCGCAUGAAUUCUCUGUGUGAACUUCGUGAUUCUAUCGGUUAUCGUUUUAAUAUUUACGCGAGUAAAUAAAUAAAUAAAUAAAAAAUAAUGAAUAAAGAAGUACAAGCACCCUGUGCAUAAAUUGCAAAUCGAGAUGUAAACAAGCACAACAUAUGAGUGAGGAUGCGGGGGAGGGGAGAGCAUGCACACCAGAGUGAGGACCAGAGAAUGGAUGUAGGAGGAUGGAGAGAGAGAGAGAGAGAGGAGAGGUGGGGGGGGAGAAAAAAAAGGAAAAGAGAAACAAGGAAACAGCAUCUUGACCACCAACAACAGUGGAAACGCAGCACUCCCCUGGGAGCCCUAGAUGAAAAGGCUUCAGGAUUUCAGCAUGCCCGUGCAGAAGCUCGACAGAUCCCAAACCAAACAGGCCUCCCACGUACAACAAGGCUCCCCGUCUCCUCCCAAAACACAUAUUCCGCCGAGCUCUCGCUUUGCGCCUACUGACUGCCGAGCACAGAGAAACGGCGGCGUGCGAAACACAAGGCUCGCCGUGAGCUCGACAGCACGGCGGCCAACUUCAAGAAGUAAACAAAUACGCUAGUAGAUUAGUGAGGUCACGUUCAUGCGCCGCUGUGCCUCGCAACGCUGCAACGGGGCAACAGCGGAGACAGAACUUCCCUUCUCUCCACUUAACCCUCUUGAAAUGAAGAGCGGUUUGCAUUGUUGCACGCUCUCGCCUUGAAGCCUUCAGCAGUUUUACUUCCUGCUGAUCUGCCACAUCUCCUCUGCCCGACUGCUGCGCACAUUACUUGACAGAAAUCACUAAUAGGUGGAGAAAAGAGCACCAAGCUGAUUCAUAGUUGGAGCGAAACUGUUGCUUUCAGGGGAUGUUUGGGACUGCCCCCGACACCUGUGAGGCGGCUGGGAAUUCGGUUUGAGGUACGCUUCUCUGUAUCGUUUUGAUGCCGCUUUUACAUGCCGAGAGGCAGGCUGGACUUUUAUAGCCUUUUGAGAAAUCAAACUGAUGCAGAUAAAGUCCGUAUGCAGAUCUGAACUUGUUAGGCAUUGCCAUCCCACACACACGCAGCACCCUUUAGCAGAAAUUCAGAAGCCGGUCCAUGCAACGUGCAAACUUUAUGCAGUCUCUUUAGAGAACACCAGCGACAAUCGUCUGCCUUACUGUGCAGUUGAUAAAACCACCACAGCACGGAUUUGUGAUCGGAAGCACAAACCACAUCUUAUGCAGCCAACAAACACAGCUGUGACAGUUUCACAACAGGUUGUCACCUGUUAGUUUAGUUUUUUAUUAACUGUUUGGUGCAGAAUUGGUUUAAAUCCAAAAAAAGGCAUCCUUUGCCAGCGAAUGACAAAAUGAUGGAGAAUUACAACAGUUGAACUGCGAAUUAUAUCACAUUGAGAGAUGCAUUUUGUUCUAUAACAGACAGAAAGCUGCAGCUGCAUCUGGGAAGCUGCAGUGUUUGUGUCAAAAAUGAGGACUCGGGUCUUUGACGUUGAACCCUGAAGCCACAAAAUCCGCAAUUUCAGAUUUUACUUCGACUCGAAACCUGGAACCAAAGUCUCAAGCAUGAUCCAUGUCUGGUGCAAUCGGGGUUGAAAGUAAACCAGUGAGAGUAAAUCAUUUGAGUAAAUUAUUCAUUUUUGUCCCCUUUGAGUUACUGCAGUGUAUGCAAAUGACUUUUCGUCACAGUAAUGUUAUGCAAAGUAAGAAUGAUUUAAACCUUCUCAACAGUGCAUGUCAGUAAAUUGAGUUAAAGAAGACAUGAAGUGCUGAUAUUUAUCGGCACCAUGGAGCAAGUGUUACAGGAAGUCAGCCACCAGUCUGUUGAACUAUGUGCUUAAUUUAUUUGUCAGGGGGAAUUUGUGUAUUUUGAGAAGCGAAUACUUCAGACCAAUUUGUUUUUGUUUGCUGUAUCAUAAAAAAAACAGCCUCAUUGAUGCGUCUCUAGCUGAGAUUUAUGUUAUUGACUUUUGGUCGUGUUCAGAACAAAAUAAAUGUAAAUUGAACUCACUUGGUAAAGUUCUGUAAAUAUUAAGACUCUUCCAGCUCUUCAAAAUAAAAUUGCUUCCUUUUUGAUUCAUUCAUACAAGGUUAUAACUCUUUAAAGUCUUGGUUUACCUUGAUGCUGCUAAAUAGAACCAAUGUCUUAAACUUUACUCAUAUGUAAAUACUUCUGUCGCAUAAUCUCGAGACUGUUACUGUAUCUGUUGAUGCUGAGUGACACGGCAAAAGAAAGAUCUGCAACUGUGGGUUAUUUUUCAGAAAAUGUUAGGGUUUCUUUUAUAGUAUGCACAUUUCAGUUGUCAGUUUUCCACUCUUCCACAGACCAAAAGAAAAAAAAGAAGAACAUGCUUGUUCUUAAAAAGAAAUUUGUAUCAGCGAGACAACCCCAGAAUUUGUCCACAAAAAUCUCUGACUGGUGCAGUGUCCAAUUAUAACAAAUUCCUGGAAGUUUCCCCUCGAGGAAGCAGGGUAAAAUCACCAUUAGUCAUCUUGUUCUAUACGGUAAAUGGGUGAUUAUCUCAUUGUUUUUGUAUGUCUUUUUGAUGACACAUCUAGCAGGAAAAAUGCCACAGAAGCGACUCACACCGGGACGAGUGCCCCAUCAGACCCAAGCAAAAGCACACCCCGCGGUGGGACACCUCAUCUCCUCAUGCGUGAACCGUAGGACGAGGAGGACAGUUGGUGGACAAAGACAAAUGGACUGACAGGCGGCGUGUUGAACUGUUUCCCAACACAGCAACGUUCACAAAGGCUGGCAGACGCAGACGGUGCGUAUCCACUCCUCCUAAACCAAGCGGGCAGCAUAAACUCGAGUUUUAAUCAAAAUAAAGACAAAGACGACACGCCCACUCCUGAUUGCAAUCAGAGACGGGGACAAAGUCCGAGGGACACCCCUACCCCAACCGCCGGCAACACAAAGGGAGGGAAAGACGACACAAUUGCCGCCUUUCUCCCAGUCAGGCAACUCCAAAAGCAGAGGUGAAAGCCCCUUGCCCGCCUGCUGUAGCAGAAUAAAGCCGUGGAUGGGAGGGCCUGGGACUAAUUCCCCCACCCAGCGUUGUCCCGUCGGGAUGGGGAGGCUGGGGGUCGCCCAGCACCCUUUGAUAUCCCUGCCUGCACUCUUUCAGCCGACGCACUUUGUGAGAACUGGAAUGAAAGCAGACACAAGGCUUCCUGCUCCAAUCCACACGCCGUCUUGGGAAUGGGUAAUCGGGUGUGGGGGUCUUCCAUUUAAAUAGGCCAAACACCUGCCGGACCGAAGCCCCUUCCGCUCAACCACACCAUUUCUCUCGAACCGCUGAGGCAAAGAGAUAUUUAGGUGGAUACAUCCAUUCAACAGCCUUUCUGUAUGAAUCAUUAAACUUUAAUAAUAACAACGUGCGAGGAGAAAAGACGCAGCAGAAGGUGAGAUAACAAAGGACCCGGACAAAGAAGAACCGAGACGAACUUUGCUUGGAGACACGGAAAAAACUGGGGAUGAUCUCAUCUACAACAACAGAUGAGAUCGCAAAAAAACAAAGAAGAACUAUUUACAAUUUGCUCACUUUAAUGCCAUAAAAUCCCUCCAUGCACAGGAGGGCAAAUAAAUGCCGUCAUUUGGACAGCAGCAACUAAAGGGCACCCUUUAGAGACACUUAAAUAGGCUUAGUAAUCCAUUCCCAAGUGGCAGCUGUCAGAAGAAAAGUUGCUCUGCCUCUCAGACGGGGAUGUGUGUGUCUGAAGUGGAUUUGGAUUUUUUUUUUUUUCUGCCUGGAAGGAGGCGGGCGGGCUGACCGAGUGUCCGGCUGGCGCUCUGUUCGGGGUUGCCCCAUGAGCUCAGUGUCUUGCAGUGAGCCUGGACAACCCUGCCUCGGUCUGGCCAGACAAGCGCUUCACACUGCUUCUUUUUACUACUGAUGAAGUCACCAUGCUACGUUACCCAAACUUGAUGAGGAUUUAAUAGACUAAUCUGUGCCCACACAUUAAAAUUGUGUUAAAUGCGAGAG